GCAAAUGUUUAGGGCUCUCUUCAAGUUUAUUGAAUGAAGAGGUGGCACGAGUAACGAUCGACCACUAUCGCAAAGUUCUGAGAGCUGAAGAAACCAUUCUACUUUAAACUUCCAAGUUAUGCGAAGAAACCAUAUAACUUUGAACUGAGCAAACUCUAGACUCUGCUGACCGUCUCCUGGCUGCUGCAUACACGGCCAACUUCGAAGGUGAUGGUAAGCUGGAGUCUCGGGGCCGGACCAGUGACUCUCGGGAUUCGGCUGCGGGGAGGGACGCAGAAGUCGG